rnacentral:rRNA from 1 species
AGUGACGAUAGCCUAGGAGAUACACCUGUUCCCAUGCCGAACACAGAAGUUAAGCCCUAGUACGCCUGAUGUAGUUGGGGGUUGCCCCCUGUUAGAUACGGUAGUUGCUUAGCC